UGUUAAAUUGACUUGCGAUGUCCCA
rnacentral:piRNA from 1 species